rnacentral:rRNA from 1 species
UUAAAGAGCCGCGGUAUCUUGACCGUGCGAAGGUAGCAUAAUAAUUAGUCUCCUAAUUAGAGGCUUGUAUGAAUGGUUGGACAAGAUGGAAACUGUCUCAGUACGAUAUUUAAAAUUUAAUAUUUAAGUAAAAAAGCUUAAAUAAUAUGGAGGGACGAUAAGACCCUAUAAAGCUUUAUGAUUCCUUUUUUUAUUAUAAAUUAUAUAUUUUAGUUUACUAAAAAACAGGUAUUAUUUUACUGGGGCGGUAAAAGUAUGUUUUUGGGUAACUGCUUUUAUUUUUAAAAACAAUUAUGUUUGGAAAUAAAAUGGUCCAUUAUUAAUGAUUAUAAGAACAAGUUACUUUAGGGAUAACAGCGUAAUUUUUUUUGAGAGUUCUUAUCGAAAAAAAAGUUUGCGACCUCGAUGUUGAAUUAGGGUUGCCUUAAGGUGCAGCAGUUUUA